UACGGGGGGGGGUAAGCGUUGUUCGGAAUUACUGGGCGUAAAGGGCUCGUAGGCGGCCAACUAAGUCGGACGUGAAAUCCCUCAGCUUAACUGGGGAACUGCGUCCGAUACUGGAUGGCUUGGAUUUGGGAGAGGGAUGCGGAAUUCCAGGUGUAGCGGUGAAAUGCGUAGAUAUCUGGAGGAACACCGGUGGCGAAGGCGGCAUCCUGGACCAAUAUUGACGCUGAGGAGCGAAAGCGUGGGUAGCAAACAGG
rnacentral:rRNA from 1 species